rnacentral:rRNA from 1 species
AUUGAACGCUGGCGGCAGGCCUAACACAUGCAAGUCUAACGAGUGGCGGACGGGUGAGUAAUGUCUGGGAAACUGCCUGAAGGAGGGGGAUAACCACUGGAACCGGUAGCUAAUACCGCAUACCAUCGGAUGUGCCCAGUUGGGAUUAGCUAGUAGGUGGGGUAAAGACUCACCUAGGGGACGAUCCCUAGCUGGACUGAGAGUAUGACCAGCCACAGUGGAACUGAGACACGUACAAGGCUCCUACGGAAGGCAGCAGUGGGGAAUAUUGCAGAAUGGACGCAAGCCGGAUGCAGCAGUGCCGCGUGUAUGAAGAAGGCCUUCGGGGUGUAAAGUACUUUCAGCGGGGAGGCGUUACACGCAGAAGAAGCACCGGAUAACUCCGUGCCAGAAGCCGCGGUAAUUC